GGCAUAGUUCAGCUGGUAGAGCGUUGGUCUCCAAAACCAAAUGUCGGGGGUUCAAAUCCUCCUGUCC
rnacentral:tRNA from 1 species